rnacentral:rRNA from 1 species
GUGUCAGCAGCCGCGGUAAUACGGAGGGGGCUAGCGUUGUUCGGAAUUACUGGGCGUAAAGGGCGCGUAGGCGGGCGCAUAAGACGGGGGUGAAAUCCCGGGGCUCAACCCCGGAACUGCCUCCGAUACUGUGUGCCUUGAGGACGGGAGAGGUGAGUGGAAUUCCGAGUGUAGAGGUGAAAUUCGUAGAUAUUCGGAGGAACACCGGUGGCGAAGGCGGCUCACUGGCCCGAUCCUGACGCUGAGGCGCGAAAGCGUGGGGAGCAAACAGGAUUAGAUACCCUGGUAGUCCACGCCCUAAACGAUGAGUGCCAGUUGUUGGCGGGCACGCCCGUCAGUGACGCAGCUAACGCUUUGAGCACUCCGCCUGGGGAGUACGGCCGCAAGGUUAAAACUCAAAUGAAUUGGCGGGG